GCAAAAUGGCGCUGAAGUACAUUAGCGCCACUCACUGGUAUUGAGCGUAAUUCAAGUAUGACUAGCAAAACAAGUACUCUGGUUCAGAGGAUCCGGAGAAAUCACUGCACGGAAGCGCCAAGGCCGAAAACCGACAUUAAAUACCCGUGACCUUCGAUCCCUCGGGCGGCGCUGCAUCAAAAACCGACCUCAAUGUGUCAAGGAUAUCACCACGUGGGCUCAGGAACACUUCAGAAAACCAAUGUCAGUAAAUACAGUUCGGCGCUACGUCCGUAAGUGCAACUUGAAACUUUACUAUGCAAAGCAAAAGCCAUUUAUCAACAACGCCCAGAAACGCCGCCGGCUUCUCUGGGCCCGAGCUCAUCUAUGAUGGACCGACGAAAAGUGGAAAAGUGUUCUGUGGUCCGACGAGUCCACAUUUCAAAUUGUUUUGGGAAAUGGUGGACGUCGUGUCCUCCGGGCCAAAGAGGAAAAGAGCCAUCCGGACUGUUAUGGACGCAAAGUUCAAAAGCCAGCAUCUGUGAUGAUAUGAGGCUGUGUUAGUUAGUGCCAAUGGCAUGGGUAACUUACACAUCUGUGAAGGCGCCAUUGAUGCUGGAAGGUACAUACAGGUUUUGGAGAAACAUGCUGCCAUCCAAGCGACGUCUUUUUCCUGCUUAUUUCAGCAAGACAAUGCCAAACCACAUUCUGCACGUGUUACAACAGCGUGGCUUCGUAGUAAAAGAGUGCGGGUACUCGACUGGCCUGCCUGCAGUCCAGACCCGUCUCCCAUUGAAAAUGCGUGGCGCGUUAUGAAGCGUCAAAUACGGCAACGGAGACCCCGGACUGUUGAACGGCUGAAGCUGUACAUCGAGCAAGAAUGGCAAAGAAUUCCACACACAAAGCUUCAACAAUUCGUGUCCUCAGUUCCCAAAUGUUGUUCAAAGAAAAGGUGACGUAACACAGCGGUAAACGUGAGCCUGUCCCAGCUUUUUUGGAACGUGUUGCAGCCAUAAAAUUCUAAGGUCAUGAUUAUUUGCUAAAAACAAGCAAGUGUAUUGUCUUUGUAGUGUAUUCAAUUAAAUCUAGGUUGAACAUGA